CAAGGUACAAAUCUGUCGUUCUGCCCCUGAACAGGCAGUUAACCCACUGUUCCCAGGCCGUCAUUGAAAAUAAGAAUAUAAUUUGUUCUUAACUGACUUGCCUAGUUAAAUAAAGGUAAAAUAAUAAUAAUAGUUUAUGGUUCAUUGAACCAGCAUGGGAAACAGUGUUUAAACCCUUUACAAUGAAGAUCUGUGAAGUUAUUUGGAUUCAUACAGGAUUAUCUUUGAAAGACAGGGUCCUGAAAAAGGGACGUUUCUGUCAUUGACAUGGUACCUUUUUGUGUCGCUCCAUUCCAGACACGUUAUCCAUCUGUAAACACGGUGUUCCCUGACAUGAACAGUACAGAGGAAUACAAUGCAUGAAAACCCAACCGCGUUGAUGGGCCGUUCUCGUUACUCUAUACGUCAUGUGAUCAGUCAGAACAAAGAAAAGAAUUCUAUUUUUAGCUCUUGUUUCGGGUUUUCUCUCCAUUUCGAGAGAUUACCUCUGGACACAUAAGUAGUGUUAUUAUGUGUGGCUCACUGCGAUCCAAGUUACCUGGUGAUUGUGGUCGUGAGAUACCCGUGAGAGUUGUUUGUCCUUAUUGUGUGUCUACAGUCUAAAGCCUCACCUCUGUUUUCAGUAGGUCUUGGUGUAACUUGUGUAACAAAGGAAAACCCUUUGUCGUACCAUCACAAGGCAGUUUUUAAAGCGUUUCCCUGAGAGGGUCUGAACUGAGUGGUGAAACAAAACAUUGGGUGGAGUUUUGUUACAUUGACGUAGGCCUUUGACAUAUUUCAAAGAGCUUUUUAACUUUAGAUGGAGAAAAAAAACUAAAGGUAAGUACGAGUCUUGGUCACGUCCCUCCCAAGAGGCUCUCGGGGGACACCGAGAGUAUAUUUACUGUGCACUGUAAUCUUCUCGUCUCAAUCGAGGAAAGACAAGCCGGACAGAGACAACAUGAAGAUGCAGAUGUUGGUGGUGGUGUUGGCUGUAGCAGCCUUGGUCCCCAGUCUGUCUGAGGGACGGCUCCUCUCCAAAUGUGAGCUGAAGAACUUGUUGGAGAAGGAGACCCUCAAAUUCAACAUGACUGGGGGAGCCGGAGUGACUGGGGGAGCCGGAGUGACUGGGGGAGCCGGAGUGACUGGGGAGCCGGAGUGACUGGGGGAGCCGGAGUGAAGAACCUGACAAACAACGAUUUUGUGGCUAAAAUCGUCUGCCACGUGGAGAAGGCCUCUGCUUUCAACACCAGUUUUGUGACUGCUUGGAGGGAUGAUGACGGCCCUGAUGUCCUCCCUACCCGCCCUGCCAAGGUUAAUGACCGCCAUCGCCCCCGAGCCCCUCCUAAGAGGGGUAAGAGACACGCUGGGGAUGAUGUUGACCUAACCCACCCUGUUAACAAUGAUAACCAUCCUACCCCUCCUGCCCGCCCUAACUACCCUACCCUCCUCCUCCCCGCCCUAACCAUCCUACCCCUCCUGCCCGCCCUAACUACCCUACCCGCCUUACCCUUCCUACCCGCCCUGAGCAGCCUCCUAAGAGGGGUAAGAGACACGCUGGGAAUCACUUCAACUCAGGAGAGGAAAGCUCCAGCGAAGAA